UGAUUAGUGUGAUAUUCUUACUGGGCUAGUAUAGCUCACCCUUUCAUUAACUACUUUAGAUCAAGAAGACUAAGAUCCUGAUCCUGAUCAGCAAGAGGGUUGUGAGUAGUUCACCACUCGGACUUCCUUCAAGUGCUAGUGAAGGUUGUUCUAUGGUACUUUUAUAUUCGUUCUUCUUUUUAUUUCUUUAAUUACCGUUUGUCUUUUAGUAUGGACAUUCUCGUAGCCCUAUUAGACGUUUUAAACUAUUGUCUAAAGAAUGUAAACCCU
rnacentral:lncRNA from 1 species